ACGCGAGCUGGGUUCAAAACGUCGCGAGACAGUUUGGUCCCUAUCUGUCGUGGGCGAUGGAAAUUUGAGAGGAGCUGCUCCUAGUACGAGAGGACCAGAGUGGACGCACCGCUGGCGUACCAGUUAGCUUGCCAGAGCUACCGCUGGGUACCUAUGUGCGGAAGGGAUAAACGCUGAAAGCAUCUAAGCGUGAAGCCCACCUCAAGAUGAGAUUUCCCAUUCGAAAGAAGUAAGACCCCUUGAAGAUGACAAGGUUGAUAGGUCAGGUGUGUAAGCAUGGUGACAUGUUGAGCUGACUGAUACUAAUAGGUCGAGGACUUAACCUU
rnacentral:rRNA from 1 species